rnacentral:lncRNA from 1 species
CAAUCGCAACAUUACCGGAACUAAGAAGCAACACCGGAAAGAAACAAACAACAUGGUAAAUGCACAAGCAUAAACAUGGCAUGAUGCACAAACAAGUAUGAUGCAUGUCUGGUUUAAUGAGGCAUGGCAUGGCAAAGUGCAACAAACAAUACUACAGGUUAAGUGGAGCUCAAUAUGCAACGAGUUGCAUAUUGACGAAACACCACAUCAACUAUUUAGUUCUCUCUCGGUUUGGUACACAACAAUAUUAAAUGUUGUUAAACAUGGCAAGAGGUGAGGCAUAAGUAAACUAACUAUUUAGGCAAGUUUAAAUGAGGCCGGAACAACGAACAACAAUUCCGGAAAAUCCCCAUAUGCAUAUUUUAGAUUUGGUACUGUUCUGCCCUAAACCAUAUUUUAAUGUUGUUAAACAGGAAAAUAAAGUGGACCAUGUUAAACUAGGCAUUUUUCCACCCCAUUUACAUAUAAAGAACAUUUAAAAUGGAGCUACGGUUAUUUAGUUAUGAAAUAAAUCAUUUUAGCAUGACAUUUGAGCAAAUUUAAACAAACAACAUUUUUAAACAUAUUUAACAUGGAUGAAAGUGGCAAAUUAUUAAUCUACACAAAAUUCUAAGCAUUUUACAUAUAUAAAGUUUUUACAUAUGAUGCACAGAUCAUGAGUUAUUAUAUGCAUGAAGUGCAAGGGGGUUUCUGCAAAAACAGCAAUCUCUGGAUAAAUAGACAAAUUCGCAGAUCUGAAAAAAAAAGGGAGACACGGGCCAAAUCUGGCUGGCCCAAAUGUGUACAGGAGAGGGCACUGGGUGCUCACCAGGCCGCAUGGGCCGGUUGGUGGAGGAGGGCGCUGGCUGGGCCAGAUCUGGAGUCCAGCGGGCCGGAUCUGGAGCAGGCUGGGCCUUGGGCACUGGAGGGGAGGCAAAGGAGGGCGCUGGGCCUUGGCCUGAUCGAACCAGGAGGAGGGGCACGGUCAACGCGCGCAGGUGGACGAAGCGAGGCACGGGUCGAGGCGCGGGGUCAACGCAGCAGGGGCGGCACGCUCGUCCUCCUGCUCGAAGCAGAGGAUGCAGGGGGCGACGGCCACGACCGGACUUGGCGGCGGGGACGGCGAGGCAAGGUGGCGGAGGCAGGGCUGCAGCAGGCUCCGGCGAGGCAGGGGACUUGGCGUGGCGGCUCC